ACUCCUACGGGAGGCAGCAGUGGGGAAUAUUGGACAAUGGGCGAAAGCCUGAUCCAGCAAUGCCGCGUGAGUGAUGAAGGCCUUAGGGUUGUAAAGCUCUUUUACCCGGGAUGAUAAUGACAGUACCGGGAGAAUAAGCCCCGGCUAACUCCGUGCCAGCAGCCGCGGUAAUACGGAGGGGGCUAGCGUUGUUCGGAAUUACUGGGCAUAAAGCGCGCGUAGGCGGCUUUGUAAGUUAGAGGUGAAAGCCCGGGGCUCAACCCCGGAAUUGCCUUUAAGACUGCAUCGCUAGAAUCGUGGAGAGGUAAGUGGAA
rnacentral:rRNA from 1 species